rnacentral:rRNA from 2 species
ACCCAAGGUGGGGGAAUAAAGUGUUCCACCAAGGCCAAUGUAUUCGUACCCCGCCCUGAGAGGGUUAUUCGCCCACCAUGGGGAUUGAGACCCGGCCCCAAAUCUCCUAGGGGGAGGCAGCAGUAGGGAAUUUUUCCCCAAUGGACGAAAGUCUGAUGGAGCAACGCCGCGUGAGUGAAGAAGGCUUUAGGGUCGUAAAACUCUGUUGUUGAAGAAGAACGUGUGUGAGAGUAACUGUUCACACAGUGACGGUAUUCAACCAGAAAGCCACGGCUAACUACGUGCCAGCAGCCGCGGUAAUACGUAGGUGGCAAGCGUUGUCCGGAUUUAUUGGGCGUAAAGCGAGCGCAGGCGGUUUCUUAAGUCUGAUGUGAAAGCCUUCGGCUUAACCGGAGAAGUGCAUCGGAAACUGGGAGACUUGAGUGCAGAAGAGGACAGUGGAACUCCAUGUGUAGCGGUGAAAUGCGUAGAUAUAUGGAAGAACACCAGUGGCGAAGGCGGCUGUCUGGUCUGUAACUGACGCUGAGGCUCGAAAGCAUGGGUAGCGAACAGGAUUAGAUACCCUGGUAGUCCAUGCCGUAAACGAUGAGUGCUAAGUGUUGGAGGGUUUCCGCCCUUCAGUGCUGCAGCUAACGCAUUAAGCACUCCGCCUGGGGAGUACGACCGCAAGGUUGAAACUCAAAGGAAUUGACGGGGGCCCGCACAAGCGGUGGAGCAUGUGGUUUAAUUCGAAGCUACGCGAAGAACCUUACCAGGUCUUGACAUCUUGCGCUAACCUAAGAGAUUAGGCGUUCCCUUCGGGGACGCAAUGACAGGUGGUGCAUGGCUGUCGUCAGCUCGUGUCGUGAGAUGUUGGGUUAAGUCCCGCAACGAGCGCAACCCUUAUUGUCAGUUGCCAGCAUUUAGUUGGGCACUCUGGCGAGACUGCCGGUGACAAACCGGAGGAAGGUGGGGAUGACGUCAAGUCAUCAUGCCCCUUAUGACCUGGGCUACACACGUGCUACAAUGGAUGGUACAACGAGUCGCAAACUCGCGAGGGUAAGCUAAUCUCUUAAAGCCAUUCUCAGUUCGGACUGUAGGCUGCAACUCGCCUACACGAAGUCGGAAUCGCUAGUAAUCGCGGAUCAGCAUGCCGCGGUGAAUACGUUCCCGGGCCUUGUACACACCGCCCGUCACACCAUGAGAGUUUGCAACACCCAAAGCCGGUUCGGUAACCUUCGGGAGCCUGCCGUCUAAGUGCAGAGAUGGGU